rnacentral:rRNA from 1 species
UACGUAGGGCGCAAGCGUUGUCCGGAAUUAUUGGGCGUAAAGAGCUCGUAGGCGGCUUGUCACGUCGGAUGUGAAAGCCCGGGGCUUAACUCCGGGUCUGCAUUCGAUACGGGCUGGCUAGAGUGUGGUAGGGGAGAUCGGAAUUCCUGGUGUAGCGGUGAAAUGCGCAGAUAUCAGGAGGAACACCGGUGGCGAAGGCGGAUCUCUGGGCCAUUACUGACGCUCAUGCACGAAAGCGUGGGGAGCAAACAGG